rnacentral:lncRNA from 1 species
GCAAAAAGAUAGUGUCAAUCAAUAUAACAUUGAAUUCAAAAUAUUUUACCAAAAAAAAAAAAAAAAUCCAUUUGCGAAGUAUUAUUACAUCUAAAUUUAAAAGAGCAUAGCAAGCAUGCUCUGUAUCUAUUAUUAUGUACCUAAAAAAAUAUAACUCUUCAACCUCAUGAAUUAGAUAUGUAGCAAAUCCUCCUAUUCUAUUAGGUGGAAGAUCAUACAACUAAUCCUAUUGCUCCAACCCAGAGAUGACAAUCAUUGAUCCUCCAUGUAGUCCUCUAAGUAGCACCUACCAGGAAAAGAUGUUACGUAUUGAGAUAUGUGCUUCAAACUCUAUUUAAGAAUGAUGUUAAGAGUAAAAUAACCUGUGUAGAAAACUUCAUCAGUAUCAAGUAAUUCUUCAAACGGAAUAGGACAUUCUUCAACCUGGCACAUUUGGGAAAAAUUCUUUGAACUCUAAUCUACGAAGGUAACUACGAAUUGAAUGAAAAUUCGAAUACACAAAGGAUAGCAGGCUAGGAAAAAAAUGGAUUUUGGAACAUUUGCAGUAAAAUUCCUUUAGAUUCACUCAUGGAAAAUUAAUCCAUUGGUUGAUGGCGUAGAAAGAAUAUUUCCCCAUACAAGUCGAUGAAUUAUAUGAUUUUAUUAAUUACUUGUAAAUCUGAGUAAGACCACAAAGUAAUUUAAGAAAAUAAACCAUAGUUUCCUAGAAAAAAUAUAUCGUAUUAAUCAGUACAAAAUGUGACUAGUUGAAUACCUUCAAAAUGAAGACAUUAAAAGAAGAGACCUCUUCAAUAUAUUGCUUAUUCAUCGAAUCAAGGUAUAAGGCAUAAGAGAAUUUUAGU